rnacentral:lncRNA from 1 species
AGUUCUUAACUGGCUGAGAACAAGGGUAGUUAUUGCCCAUUUGGUGACUCCUGAGGACAAAGUCAUAAAUAUGCCAACAUGAAAACAAAUUGUUUCUCAGUGGGAUGUUAUUAAAUGUAGGCAGGGUUACCUGCAAAGUCUCAGGUUCUGUCAGUCAUACAGGUAAAAGAUUUAAUGAUACUAACUGACUUUUAAUUCCAGCAAUGAUCUCAAGAAAAUAACUAUUUUACUGGCACUGUUUACAGAUCCUUGUAUUUAGAGGAUUACCUGUGUUUGCAAGACCAUUUGGCUACACCAGAGAACAACUCACAAAUGCCUUGUUGUUGAGCAGAGCAAGCUGCAUCUAAAUCCUCCAAACAGCAAGUUGCUCUACCAGGCGUUGACUUGCUCCGAAAUUUGUAGUAUGGGAACACACUUCAACACCUGUGUGUGUUUUGUAGAAGUUUCAGUGCUGUUCAAAGUGAUGUGCUAGAAAGAAGAAAAGGGUAGGUACAUGCAUGCUUGUGAUAAACUUUGGGUCCUCUUCUGAUAAUGACUUGGUGUAGAAGAGAGGAGGGGAAAAAAAAAAGGCUACGCGGGUCAUCAAAACAGGUAAUUCAAGAGCAGGCAGGGGCGGGAUGCGGGGAGCGGCCCGACCCCCCCCAUCCCCCCCUCCACUUCCCCGGCCCCGGGCAGGCUGGGGCGGGCCCGGCGCGGCGCGGCCGGGGCCGUGGGUGCGCUCCCGCCGGCGGUGGGGCGGACGGGCCCGGCCGCCGCCGCGGCAGCAGCAGCGGACAUCUUGUGGAGGGGGCUAGCGAUGAGGGGACGUCUUCGGGUUCGGGCCGGGGGGGCUGCGGGGCGGCGGCGUAAUUCGUUGAGCGGGCAGCGCCCCGGGAGUUAUCUGGGUCAGGGCCCCGCCGGGCGCGGCCGCGCUGACGGCCCGGGCUGCGGUCUGCCCCUCCACUCGCCUCCCGUCACCUGCGCCGGGAUGCCCACGGAGAGCCUCCCCCUUCCCACCCCCCUCCCCGGGCGAUAAGGGCAAAGAGCCGCGGAGCGGGGGAAGUCAUCGGAGCGGGGAAAAACCCCGGCAAAAUACCACCGCAGAUGAGGCAUCCUCUCUGGGGCUGAACCCGGACCUCCUCCGCCGAGGCCGUGGUCAGCGCCGGCCGUGAAUGACUCCCGGGGGGUGCUUUCGGCUGUGCCCCAGCCCCCCACCCCGGAUCCCGGCAGCCCGGCUUUGCGACGGGUUAUUAAAAAUGCCCUCCGCUUGUUUACGCAGACCUGACUCUGUCAAGCGAUGCCAGCCUUGAACUCUCUUAAUCAGCGUAAGAUGAUCUAAUUUCGAGGGAGGCGGCUGUAGUGCUGGUGGGUAGCUGGGCUCCGAGUCCUUGGUUCCCCGCGCGCUUGGAGCCAGAGGUAUGCGUGUGGUGGAGAUGACUGAGUAGCCUACAGGUUUAGCCCGGACUAAAGGGUCAAACAGCAUCCGAAGGGUGAGAGUUC